rnacentral:rRNA from 1 species
GACGAACGCUGGCGGCGCGCUUAACACAUGCAAGUCGAACGGAAAGGCCUGCUUUCCCUUGUGGAUUGCGGGUACUCGAGUGGCGAACGGGUGAGUAACACGUGAGUGAUCUGCCCCCAACUUGGGUAUAAGCCUGGGAAACUGGGUCUAAUUCCCGAUAGGACUGCAGGGUGGUGCCUGUGGUGGAAAACGAUUUUCUAGUGGUUGGGGAUGAGCUCACGGCCUAUCAGCUUGUUGGUGGGGUAAUGGCCUACCAAGGCGGCGACGGGUAGCCGGCCUGAGAGGGUGGACGGCCACAUUGGGACUGAGAUACGGCCCAGACUCCUACGGGAGGCAGCAGUGGGGAAUAUUACACAAUGGGCGGAAGCCUGAUGCAGCGACGCCGCGUGGGGGAUGACGGCCUUCGGGUUGUAAACUCCUUUCGACCGCGAGGAAGCCACCUGGUUGGAAGGGUGGUGACGGUAGUGGUAGAAGAAGCACCGGCUAACUACGUG